ACGGGUGAGUAAUGUCUGGGGAUCUGCCCGAUAGAGGGGGAUAACCACUGGAAACGGUGGCUAAUACCGCAUAACGUCGCAAGACCAAAGAGGGGGACCUUCGGGCCUCUCACUAUCGGAUGAACCCAGAUGGGAUUAGCUAGUAGGCGGGGUAACGGCCCACCUAGGCGACGAUCCCUAGCUGGUCUGAGAGGAUGACCAGCCACACUGGAACUGAGACACGGUCCAGACUCCUACGGGAGGCAGCAGUGGGGAAUAUUGCACAAUGGGCGCAAGCCUGAUGCAGCCAUGCCGCGUGUGUGAAGAAGGCCUUCGGGUUGUAAAGUACUUUCAGCGGGGAGGAAGGCGAUGUGGUUAAUAACCGCAUUGAUUGACGUUACCCGCAGAAGAAGCACCGGCUAACUCCGUGCCAGCAGCCGCGGUAAUACGGAGGGUGCAAGCGUUAAUCGGAAUUACUGGGCGUAAAGCGCACGCAGGCGGUCUGUUAAGUCAGAUGUGAAAUCCCCGGGCUUAACCUGGGAACUGCAUUUGAAACUGGCAGGCUUGAGUCUCGUAGAGGGGGGUAGAAUUCCAGGU
rnacentral:rRNA from 1 species